UCCAGUACCAUCUCCCGCUCAUCUUCCAUUUCACAGAUUUCCCCAUAAUAGGCUAUCCAAAAUGGGCUAAUAGAAUUCUCUUCAGCUUUUAGCCAGGGCCCGUAUAGCAGUGUUUCAGUUUUGGACAUGAGUUCGACCUCAUAAGGCACAAGUUGACAGAUUUUUGCAUAAUGUCCAAUAACCCCACACGAAUAGCAGAAAUGGGGAAGUCUUUCAUACCUAAAGUCCAUCCAAUGCUCCUUGCCUCUAAAACUAGAAAGCAUGCCUGAGGAAAGGGGAUUUGAUAAUUUUAACAUAACUCUAGCUCUCCCCACCACUAUGGAUGCAAAGCCUUUUGUUUCUAUGCGUACUUCUGAAACUUCACCUACAUUUCCUGCUAUUUCUCUUAUUGCUGCUUCAGACCUCCCUGCUAUAGGCAAUCCAUGAAUUUGAACCCAAAAGGUAGAGGAGUCAAAUAUAAUACAAUGUGGAGGCAUACUUGGCUCCCAUAGCUUUAAUACCAGCAAAUGACUUGAGAAGGACCAAGGUCCAGAGUUCAGUAUUUUGUUUCUCACCUCCACGGACUCAAACUCAAAUGAAAAUAGACCUGGUUAUAGAUGCUUGCAAAUGACAGAAUUCGAUUUCCAUGCUUUCUUCAUCGUGGCUUGGAAGGCUUGGAAAUUAACAGACGGGCUUCCAAAAAGCUUGCCGAAAACAGGACCCAAAGAGAGGAACCAUCUAUAGGAGAGGGGAACCUACCAGAAGAAGGACAAUGAUCCAUUCUGGAUACAACUAUCACCCAUCGUGGGUUUCUUCUACGCCAUUUCUUUUGCUUUUGAACCUUGAAAAAAGGUUAACAGUGGCUGUGGACUUCUGGAACGGAGUGGCGCCAGAGGAGGGAACUAAUCAACCAACGACUGCACCUGGAAACCAGCGGCCUUUGUGCUGUGGUUGCGCCUCUUUCUUCAAAGUCGGGAUUUUGGAUCUAAGUCUCGUCAUUUAGAAUGGGGAACAGAGAAGUUAAGGGUUUUGGAAAGGUGUAAGGGUAGGGAGUAGAAACAAACUAUGGUAUUGUUGUGGAUAUGGAUUCUUGGGAUUUUGGGAGGAAAACAGGGUUUAGGGCAAAGCUA